rnacentral:rRNA from 1 species
UAAGGAAUAUUGGACAAUGGAGGCAACUCUGAUCCAGCCAUGCCGCGUGAAGGAAUAAGGCCCUAUGGGUUGUAAACUUCUUUUAGACGGGACAAAACCCCUUUACGUGUAAAGGGUUGAUGGUACUGUCAGAAUAAGCAUCGGCUAACUUCGUGCCAGCAGCCGCGGUAAUACGAAGGAUGCAAGCGUUAUCCGGAAUUAUUGGGUUUAAAGGGUGCGUAGGCGGACUAAUAAGUCAGUGGUGAAAGCCUGCAGCUUAACUGCAGAAGUGCCAUUGAUACUGUUAGUCUUGAGUACAGUUGAGGUAGGCGGAAUGUGUCAUGUAGCGGUGAAAUGCUUAGAUAUGAAACAGAACACCGAUUGCGAAGGCAGCUUGCUAAGCUGUAACUGACGCUGAGGCACGAAAGCGUGGGGAGCAAACA